CAGGAUGAACGCUAGCUACAGGCUUAACACAUGCAAGUCGAGGGGAAACGAUAUUGAAAGCUUGCUUCUUAGGCGUCGACCGGCGAAUGGGUGAGUAACGCGUAUCCAACCUGCCCCUGAGUAAGGGAUAGCCCAUCGAAAGAUGGAUUAAUACCUUAUGGUUUCCUUUGAAGGCAUCGGAUUAGGAAUAAAGAUUUAUCGCUGAGGGAUGGGGAUGCGUCUGAUUAGCUUGUUGGCGGGUAACGGCCACCAAGGCGACGAUCAGUAGGGGUUCUGAGAGGAAGGUCCCCCACAUUGGUACUGAGACACGGACCAAACUCCUACGGGAGGCAGCAGUGAGGAAUAUUGGUCAAUGGGCGGAAGCCUGGACCAGCCAAGUAGCGUGCAAGGAUGACUGCCCUAUGGGUUGUAAACUGCUUUUAUACGGGGAUAAAGUCAGAGUCGUGACUCUGUUUGCAGGUACCGUAUGAAUAAGGACCGGCUAAUUCCGUGCCAGCAGCCGC
rnacentral:rRNA from 1 species